GGGUAAUUUUCCGCAAUGGGCGAAAGCCUGACGGAGCAACGCCGCGUGAGGGACGAAGGCUUCUGGGCUGUAAACCUCUUUUCUCAAGGAAGAAGAUAUGACGGUACUUGAGGAAUAAGCCACGGCUAAUUCCGUGCCAGCAGCCGCGGUAAUACGGGAGUGGCAAGCGUUAUCCGGAAUUAUUGGGCGUAAAGCGUCCGCAGGCGGCUUUUCAAGUCUGCUGUUAAAAAGUGGAGCUUAACUCCAUCAUGGCAGUGGAAACUGAAAGGCUUGAGUAUGGUAGGGGCAGAGGGAAUUCCCGGUGUAGCGGUGAAAUGCGUAGAUAUCGGGAAGAACACCAGUGGCGAAGGCGCUCUGCUGGGCCAUUACUGACGCUCAUGGACGAAAGCCAGGGGAGCGAAAGGGAUUAGAUACCCCUGUAGUCA
rnacentral:rRNA from 1 species